GACAGAGGGUGCAAACGUUGUUCGGAAUUACUGGGCGUAAAGCGCGUGUAGGCUGUUCGGAAAGUCGGGUGUGAAAGCCCCGGGCUCAACCCGGGAAGUGCACUCGAAACUCCCGAACUGGAGUCCUGGAGAGGAAGGCGGAAUUCUCGGUGUAGAGGUGAAAUUCGUAGAUAUCGAGAGGAACAUCGGUGGCGAAGGCGGCCUUCUGGACAGUGACUGACGCUGAGACGCGAAAGCGUGGGGAGCAAACAGG
rnacentral:rRNA from 1 species